rnacentral:rRNA from 1 species
UACGUAGGGUGCGAGCGUUAAUCGGAAUUACUGGGGGUAAAGCGUGCGCAGGCGGCUUCGCAAGUCAGGCGUGAAAUCCCCGGGCUUAACCUGGGAAUGGCGUCUGAAACUACGGAGCUGGAGUGUGGCAGAGGGAGGUAGAAUUCCACGUGUAGCGGUGAAAUGCGUAGAUAUGUGGAGGAAUACCGAUGGCGAAGGCAGCCUCCUGGGCCAACACUGACGCUCAUGCACGAAAGCGUGGGGAGCAAACAGG